rnacentral:lncRNA from 11 species
UAAACUAAUGCACCACACAUUAAAACACAUUUUUAUAAUUAAUGGAUAUAAUAAUUAGUAAAAAAUGUGUUUUAUUGAAAGACAUAAAUCAUAUCAAAACCUAAUAACUUUUGAUGGAUUAUCAAACUUUCUAGUACAUAAAAUAGUAUUACACAGUAUUGUGUAAUAAGCAGGGUUCAUUUUUUUCAUGGAAACAAUGCAAGAAACCAAAGUUGAUUUUAAAAACCCCAACCCCAAGUAGUUUAAACACAAAAAUUGUGUCUGUGUUUUUUCUAACCUUGGUUAGAAGAGUCUUUAAAAUCUAUUUAUUUGUUUGAUGUGACUGUUUUUUCUUGAUUAAUGCUUACAGUACAGUACAAAAAAGGCUGUACUUAAAAUACAUUUAUCUUCAUGGUCACAGGUUUGACCUCCUUCAGGAGAUCAUCCAAGAACUUCAGGGAACUGGAGAUUCCCCAGCUGUCGGCCAAAGACAGCAAGGAAGGAGUGGAAAAGGAAAACGUACAGUCCCGGGACAGAAGAAUGCAGCUCCCGUCUCCACUGUGAGUCAGGGGAAGGUUGUGAAUGUGAAAGACUCGUGAAGUAUCAUCUCCAUACCUGUUUUACUUGGGGAUUGGACUGAAACCUGCCAUUGCUCCCGUUUUGAAAUAAAAGUAAUCUGCUCCUUCAUUCAAGUAGCAGCCAGGAAGCACUUUGACAAUCCAGCAUCUUCAAUUCACAAGCCUGUGGUGUUUAAAAUUGUUGUCUAUGACUCCCUCUGCUCUACCUUGAAAGGCCUGCUUGUAACUUUUGGCUCUAUGUAUAAGAUAUAUAUGUAACAUAAAUUAAUUUUGUGUUUAGAUUUGAGUCGCAUCACUAAGAUAUCUCAUGUGCGUACAUGCAGUGUAUUCCAAAAUCCAAAACGUUUCUUGUCCCAACCAUUUUUGGAUAAGAGAUAUUCAAC